UUUUUAUUUUCAAGAAUAUUAAAUAUUAAAUAAAUAAUUUUGGUUAACUACAUGAAUAUGUUUUUUUCCUUUGACAAUUGUGAUAAAUGAAUAAUGACUAAUCUCUAUUUCCAUCUACAUUGCACUUCAUUGGAAUAUCAUUGAUUUUGUAAUAUAUCUUCUGUUAUUAUUUCUGAUCAUGUUGAAUAAGGUUGGACGUUUCCUUUAUCAUUAUGUAUUCAAGCGGAGCUCCACAUUUACACUCGGUGUUGUAAUUAGCACGAUGUUCUUUGAGAGAGCUUUCGAUCAAGCUUGUGAUUAUAUACAUGAAACUGUGAAUAAAGGGAGGCUUUGGAAGGACAUAAAGCAUCGAUAUGAAAAUCCAAUUAUAGAAACUCGAUAUAUACACAGUGAUCAAUUAAAGCCCUUCACUAAUAUAGAAAAUCAUUAAGAAUACAGGUAUAGUCAUAUUAGCAGGCGGAGAAUUUUCCAUAUCUUAAAAUUUCUCCUUAAUCUCAACUCCUAUUAUAUAUACAUACAUAAAGCGGAAAUGCGUUGUGACUUCUGUCUCUCCCAUUCGCUUUUUCACUUUAUAUGCUCAUGUGAUCGUGUGGCAAAUGUGAGAGCAGCGUAACGGGAGAAGAGAUGAUAGUGGAAAAUGAAACUUUUGAUAUUUUUUAUCAACUUUGA